CGCAGUCGGGGAGUUGCUAAGGAACACAGGGGAGUUCAUGAUGUCAAGAUACAGGGAGGUUGCUGAAAUUGUUCUAAGAUACCUGGAGCACCGAGAUCGCCUAGUUCGCCUCAGCAUAACUUCAUUACUUCCUCGAAUUGCCCAUUUCCUGCGUGAUCGAUUUGUGACUAACUAUUUAACGAUAUGCAUGAAUCAUAUACUUCAUGUCCUCAAAAUACCUGCAGAACGUGCCAGUGGGUUCAUUG
rnacentral:misc_RNA from 1 species